rnacentral:rRNA from 1 species
GACGAGGGGUCCAAGCGUUGUUCGGAAUUAUUGGGCGUAAAGCGGGUGUAGGUGGCUCUAUAAGUCAGGAGUGAAAUCCCCAAGCUUAACUUGGGAAGUGCUUUUGAUACUGCAGAGCUUGAAUGUGGGAGAGGAUAGUAGAAUUCCAGGUGUAGUGGUGAAAUACGUAGAUAUCUGGAGGAACACCAGUGGCGAAGGCGACUUCCUGGCCUGUUCUUGACGCUGAGGCGCGAAAGCUAGGGGAGCAAACGGG